rnacentral:lncRNA from 10 species
GGUCUGUGGGUGGGUCUUGUUCAGCCCCAACAAAUGAAAGAAGAUUAAUUAACAGAAGCAGCUGCAGCUGGGCCUGGAGGCAGUGGCUCUACAGCAGCAGUGAGAGCCGAGCUGUGGCAGACACAUGCUCUUCCCCUGACUCACGGCUGCCCAGUUCCCUCCAGCGAGGCUGCUGACCUAUUUUUCUAUUAGGAACAACCAGCCAAUGUGAUAAUGAGGAAAAUGUAUUCUGGCCCCUAUGAAGUUUAGUGAAGCCCGAAUGAAGUGGAGGAGGCCACGGAGAUGCACGAGGAAGAGCAUUCCAGGCAGAGGGAACAGCGAGGACAAAAGCCCCCGGGCAGGAAUGGGUGUGCAAGCCUGAGAUCCAACAUGGCGGAGAGCAAGCCGGAAGUGCUGCGCGGGGAUCCUAAGGGAGCACUGAACAGGACAAGCUCAGUUUUGUCCCUCAAACCUCCACAAUCAGCUAUUUUACAUAAGGAAAGUGGGUGGUGAUUAACCUCAGAGUCUCCAGGGACAGACUAUCCAGGACUGUGCCUGAAAUAGAAGAGGAAUUAACAUCAUACAGAACUGAAUACGGUGACUGAGGGGAGUUUGUGUCUCCCCUUUUAGGAAAGAAGAUGAGAAUAAGUAUGAAGGAGAGUCAUGUACUGUACAUUAAGCAAAAGCAUGAUGCUGUUAUUUGAAAUGUUAAUUAGAGGUGCCCACUAAAAACUGCUCAGCAAUUUUCUUGGAGACCUCAGUGCUCAUGUUAUUCUUUCCUCUAUCUUAUGUUUUCCUCUCUCCUGCCCUUUUCAGAAACAGUCUACAGCAGAAGCCAUUGACCCUGUUCAAAUUACAGAAGAGCCCUUUUUGAAUUUAUGAAAAUCCUGAAAUAUUAAAAUUUAUUAUUUUAAUAUUAAUAUAUUAAAUUAAUAUAUUAAUCUACCCGCCUCGGCCUCCCAAAGUGCUGGUAUUACGGGCAUGAGCCACCGAACCCAGCCUCAUGUUAUGACUUUCCAACCAUAAUUUAGUGUUAACAAAGUAAUCACAAAAGUAAUAUAUUAGUUUGAAAUUAGUAAUGCCCACCAGAUUCAAUCACUAAAAAAUGUGAUAUCAUUAAAAACCAUUUUUCUACAUGUUAACAAGAGCCAACUUCUGUCCCAAGCAGGUUGAAUUAUCACAAUUUCCUGAUAAGCAGAGUCCAGCUUCCUAAUUCAAACUCUCAAACUCAUUGUUAAAUAAGCCCAGAGGAGUUGGACAUUUUCCAUCACGCAUGUGGGAAGAAAGAAGGCCAACGAUGCUCUUCAGAUUUAACAAGUAAACCUUAAAAGUAUCUGUUAAGAAUACAGAGAUGCCCAUGACAACACUAUCACCAGAGCAACAACUAUCAACUAAGACUUGCAGUUUUUGAGGCCUGGUUCUGAAGUGAACUACUCAGCAUUACUUGCAAAGGACAGACCUGCAAAGUGACGUUUUGCUGGCAGAAAUGGAGAAGGAGCUGAGUACAGAUUUCAUGUAAUAAAAGUGAAAUG